GACGAACGCGUGGCGGCGUGCAUAACACAUGCAAGUCGAACGAGUGAAGAAGAGAAUGGAGACCUCGGUCAAAGUUCGCUUCGGAUUAGUGGCAGACGUGUGAGUAACGCGUGAGCAACCUACCUCUUACAAAGGGAUAGCCACUGGAAACGGUGAUUAAUACCAUAUGAGACCACAAACUCGCAUGAGAAAGGGGUUAAAGAAAUUCGGUGUAAGAUGGGCUCGCGUCUGAUUAGCUAGUUGGAAGGGUAAAGGCCUACCAAGGCGACGAUCAGUAGCCGGUCUGAGGGGAUGAACGGCCACACUGGAACUGAGACACGGUCCAG
rnacentral:rRNA from 1 species